rnacentral:rRNA from 1 species
UACGUAGGGUGCGAGCGUUAAUCGGAAUUACUGGGCGUAAAGCGUGCGCAGGCGGUUUGCUAAGACCGAUGUGAAAUCCCCGGGCUCAACCUGGGAACUGCAUUGUGACUGGCAGGCUAGAGUAUGGCAGAGGGGGGUAGAAUUCCACGUGUAGCAGUGAAAUGCGUAGAGAUGUGGAGGAAUACCGAUGGCGAAGGCAGCCCCCUGGGCCAAUACUGACGCUCAUGCACGAAAGCGUGGGGAGCAAACAGG